AUGUCGGCGGUUAGCUGGAGCAUUCCGGCGAUCCCGCGGGCGGUCCCGCCGGCGAGGUCCGGCCCGCCCGGGGAGGCCUUCCUGGUGGCCGCGCGCCCGCGGGCGGCCCGAUCCCGUGCCGCUCCCAGGAGAGUCAGGCUCGCCCGGGGCGGCGUCGUCGUCGCCCACGCCGGCGCGGCGGAGGUGCCCGUCGCUGAUUCCGGAGAGGCCGCGGUGGUCUUCUCCGAGAAGUUCCCCCUCCGCCGAUGCCAAACUGUGGAAGGGAAGGCGUGGGUGAGAGUGGAGGCGGAGCCGGAUGCGGACGGCAAGUGCAAGAUCGUCAUCGGGUGCGACGUAGAGGGGAAGUGGCUGCUGCACUGGGGUGUCUCCUACCACGGUGAGACCGGCAGUGAAUGGGAUCAACCUCCUUCGGAAAUUAGACCUCCCGGUUCGGUUCCAAUCAAGGACUCUGCGAUUGAAACACCAUUGGAGACUUCACCCAAUUCAGAAGGACAUAUACUUCAUGAAGUGCAAAUCAAAUUUGAUAAGGACACUCCAGUUGCCGCUAUCAAUUUUGUUCUCAAGGAAGAGGGAACAGGUGCAUGGUUUCAACAUAAGGGUGGGGAUUUCAGAAUACCCUUAAGUGGGUCCCUCAAGGAUGGAGAUCCGUUAGGAGCAAAACAAGGAGUGAAACCUGAAGGAUCUAAUGCUCAGCUAAAAGAAGCAGUUCCUGGGGAAAAAGGUCCAAGCACAAAAUGCAUUUCAGAGUUCUAUGAGGAAUAUCCCAUCUUAAAAUCAGAGUAUUUUGAGCAUUUUGUAUCUGUUGCUGUGACGGAGAACAGUGAAACAGAUAAAAGUCUCGUGGAAUUCUAUACUGACAUUACUGGAGAUGUUAUCAUUCAUUGGGGAGUUUGCAAAGGCAAUACCAUGACUUGGGAGAUCCCACCAGAACCGCAUCCACCAAACACGAAGAUCUUCCGACAGAAAGCUCUUCAGACCUUGCUAGAGCAAAAAACUGAUGGUACAGGCAGCGCUGUAUCAUUCCUACUGGAUGCAGACUACUCGGGUCUUGUUUUCGUGCUCAAACUUAAUGAGCAUACUUGGUUGAGAAAUCUGGAGAAUGGAUUUGAUUUCUAUAUUCCUCUUACGAGGGUGGAGCAAUUUGGCAGCACUCAAGAGCCUCAUAGGGCUGGUGAACAUAAACUUGAUGAUAAGUCUGCGCAAACUGAUGGCCUAAUCAGCGAUAUAAGAAAUCUGGUGGUUGGCCUGUCGUCUAGAAGAGGUCAACGAGCAAAGAACAAAGUUCUGCAAGAAGAUAUUCUACAAGAAAUUGAGAGGUUAGCAGCUGAAGCAUAUAGCAUUUUUAGGAGCCCCACUAUUGAUGCCAUAGAAGACCCUGUUUACAUCGAUGACCCAGAAAGUGUGAAGCCAGCUUGUUCUGGCACUGGAUCUGGAUUCGAAAUAGUGUGCCAAGGAUUUAACUGGGAGUCACAUAAGUCAAGGGAUUUAUACAACCUAAAUUCCAGAUAUGGAACCAUGGCAGAGUUGAAGCAGCUUGUGGAUAUUUUUCAUGAAAAUGGUGUGAAGGUUCUUGGCGAUGCUGUUCUAAAUCACAGAUGUGCUCAGUUUCAGAAUCAAAACGGGAUCUGGAAUAUUUUUGGUGGGCGUAUGAACUGGGAUGACCGAGCGGUCGUUGCUGAUGAUCCACAUUUCCAGGGAAGAGGAAACAAAAGCAGUGGAGAUAACUUCCAUGCUGCACCAAACAUCGAUCACUCACAAGAUUUUGUGAGAACUGAUAUUAAAGAAUGGCUUCGCUGGAUGAGAAAGGAAGUUGGAUAUGAUGGAUGGAGACUUGAUUUUGCUCGUGGCUUUUGGGGUGGAUAUGUCAAAGAUUACAUGGAAGCAACUGAACCAUACUUUGCAGUAGGAGAGUACUGGGACUCUCUCAGUUAUACUUAUGGUGAGAUGGAUUAUAACCAGGAUGCUCACAGGCAGAGAAUUGUUGACUGGAUAAAUGCUACAAACGGAACUGCUGGUGCAUUUGAUGUCACUACUAAGGGAAUACUUCAUAUGGCACUGGAAAGAUCUGAGUAUUGGCGCUUGUCUGAUGAAAAAGGAAAACCCCCUGGAGUAUUAGGUUGGUGGCCUUCACGUGCAGUCACAUUUAUAGAAAAUCAUGACACCGGCUCUACUCAGGGUCAUUGGAGAUUUCCCUAUGGUAUGGAGAUGCAAGGCUAUGCCUAUAUCUUGACACAUCCUGGCACUCCUGCAGUCUUCUAUGAUCACAUCUUCUCACACUUACAACAAGAUAUUGCCAAAUUAAUGUCUAUCAGAUGCCGCCUAAAGAUUCAGUGCCGCAGCAAGAUCAAGAUACUCAAGGCAGAACAGAAUUUAUAUGCCGCCGAGAUUAAUGAGAAUUUACUGAUGAAGAUUGGCGCGGGACAUUUUGAACCAACUGGUCCCGUAAACUGGAUUGUUGCAGCAGAGGGACAUGAUUACAAAAUCUGGGAAGCGGCGUCCUAG
rnacentral:rRNA from 1 species